rnacentral:rRNA from 1 species
GACGAACGCUGGCGGCGUGCUUAAUACAUGCAAGUCGAACGGAAAGGCCCUGCUUUUGUGGGGUGCUCGAGUGGCGAACGGGUGAGUAACACGUGAGUAACCUGCCCUUGACUUUGGGAUAACUUCAGGAAACUGGGGCUAAUACCGGAUAGGAGCUCCUGCUGCAUGGUGGGGGUUGGAAAGUUUCGGCGGUUGGGGAUAGACUCGCGGCUUAUCAGCUUGUUGGUGGGGUAGUGGCUUACCAAGGCUUUGACGGGUAGCCGGCCUGAGAGGGUGACCGGCCACAUUGGGACUGAGAUACGGCCCAGACUCCUACGGGAGGCAGCAGUGGGGAAUAUUGCACAAUGGGCGGAAGCCUGAUGCAGCAACGCCGCGUGCGGGAUGACGGCCUUCGGGUUGUAAACCGCUUUCGCCUGUGACGAAGCGUGAGUGACGGUAAUGGGUAAAGAAGCACCGGCUAACUACGUG